UUCGGGGCCCGACCACCAACCCCUUGUGUACCGCCUCUGUUUCUUCGGCAGAUGGUUUGGCUUUCUAGUCAAACACCCCAAUCGACCAAUUUCUUGGCACGGUUGGGGCUGUGUCUGUCAGAAGACCCUAUCAAUCAUGAUUAUAUUAUGUCGUCUGAGUGAUUGAUAAUCAUUUAAAACUUUCAACAACGGAUCUCUUGGUUCUGGCAUCGAUGAAGAACGCAGCGAAAUGCGAUAAGUAAUGUGAAUUGCAGAAUUCAGUGAAUCAUCGAAUCUUUGAACGCACAUUGCGCCCCUUGGUAUUCCGGGGGGCAUGCCUGUUCGAGCGUCAUUACAGCAAUCAAGCUCUGCUUGGCGAUGGGCGUCUCGCCCCCCUCUUCUUGGGGUUGGCGUGCCCGAAAGCUAUUUGGCUGGUGCUGCCUGAAAAGCAACGGAUUGACUUACAAAAUCGUUGAGCUUUUCGGGAUGUGCGCCUAGGCUAGACAACCUCAACUUUUAUCAAGUUUGACCUCGGAUCAGGUAGGGAUACCCGCUGAACUUAAGCAUAUCAAUAAGCGGAGGAA
rnacentral:rRNA from 1 species